CUGUGUGUGUGUGUGUGUGUGUGUGUGUGUGUGUGUCUGUGUGUGUGUGUCUGUGUGUGUGUGUGAGAGUGUGUGUAUCUGUGUGUGUGUCUGUGUGUGUGUGUCUCUGUGUGUCUGUGUGUGUAUCUCUGUGUGAGUGUGUGUGUCUGUGUGUAUGAGUGUGUGUGUCUGUGUGUGUGAGUGUGUGUGUCUGUAUGUGUGUGAGUGUGUGUGUCUGUGUGUCUGUGUCUGUGAGUGUGUCUGUGUGUGUGUGUGAGUGCGUGUGUGGUCAGAAGACAGCAUUGGCGGUGAGUCCUUACCUGCUACCUUCUUUUGAGACAGAAUUUCUUGUUUUACAUCUGUAUAUGAGAUGCCAGGUGGCCCGAGAGCUUUCAGACGUUUUCCUCUCUCUGCUUCCCAUUUCCUGUGAGUACACUGGAGUUAUAGACACCUGACCCAACCACAUGGCUUUACAUGGGUUCUUGGGAUUCAAACUUAGGUCUUCACACUUGUGUGAGAGUGCUUUACCCAUUGAGCUGUUUCCCCAGCCCAAAAUGUGGAAGCUUUCUCUUCUCAUUUAUUUGUUUGUUUGUUUGUUUGUUUUCUCUGUGAGACAGGCUGUCUCCUCCCCCCCACCCUCUGUAGAACAGACUGGUCCAAAACUCAGAGAUCCUUCUGCCUCUGCUUCCUGAGUGCUGGAAUUAAAGAUGUAUGUCACCAGUACUUGGCUUCCCUCCCUCCCUCCCUCCUUCCCUCUCCCCCUCCCUCCCUCCUUUCUUUCUCUCUUUAAGACACGGUCUAAUCAUGUAGCUUUGACUGGCCUGGAACUCACUAUGUAGACUCAGAGCUGCCCAUUUCGGCCUCCCAAAUGCCACCACAACCACACUAACAUCCACAUGUGACAGCACACUUCCAAGUAAUAGUCUAGAGAUAGACAGAGUCCUAAGGCGGCCUUGUUGACUUUAUUCAGUACUUAGGAACCUUUCUGUGUGUUAAGUGUUGUUGAAAGCGCCCGGUAGCUAUCUGUGAGUAAUUACACCUUCACAGAGUCGGCUUCUAGAGUAAUAUGUAACUCCAGGGACUCAGUGAAAAGCAGAAGGUUUGUUAAGUAUGUGCCAUGACAACAGACUCUAUACUGAUUAUCUUACAAAAAUGAAUUCACCUAAAUCCUUAUUUAUUUUCAAAUAAUAUGUAUUCAUUUUUAUGUGUGAGCAUUUUGCCUGCACUUUAAUGUCCGUGUACCACGAAUGUGCUUGGUACCCAGGGAGGUCAGAAUAUGGCACUGGGUCCCCUGGAACUGGAGUUACUGGAUGAUUAUGAACCACCAUUGUGGGUCCUGGGACUCAAACCCGGAUCCCCUGCAAGAGGGACAAGCUCUUAACCACUGAGCUAUCUCUCCAGCCCAUAGAUCAGGAGGAGAAUGAGGCCUAGGGAGGAAAAGGGCUUAGAGUUAGCAGGUAGCGGUGUCAGAUUUCUGUCAGAAGCCAGUGUUCUUAAUCACAGUGCUGUCCUGCCUCACUGCACGAGGAGCUGCACCCGGGCCAGAGCCCGGACUCGGAAGACUUGAGGAGAUGGGCCAGAACCUGGAAAAGAGUAAAAGGAAUACGUUCAUGAUAUUUUAAGCUGAUGUUUUGGGACAGGAUGACCAAGAAUUAGUAGUAGACAUGCUGAAGACGGUUUAGGGCAGCGGUUCUCAACCUUCCUAAUGCUGCAACCCCUUCAACACAGUUCCUCAUGUUGAGGUGACCCCCAGCCGUAACAUUAUUUUGUUGCUACUUCCUAGCUGUAAUCUUGCUACUGUUAUGAAUCAUAAUAUGAAUAUCUGAUACACAACCCCCCCAGAGGGUCUGGACUCACAGGUUGAGAACCAUUGGUUUAGGGUCUAACCACUGAGUGCUGCUGCUUGAGGUCGCUGAGCUUUGUCUGGGAAACAGAAGAUUCACUCUGCCUUUGUGCCCACCACCUCUACUGCAGCCCCGGAACAUGACCUUGAACCAGAGGAGCCUAAUAGAGAACAGGCCACCCUUAAGAUUGCUCUGAUAUCAGCCUGGCCUUUCCAGAAAACUUGCGUUGUAAGCGAAGGUUCCUUAUUAUGGCUUACAAGUCAUGUGAUGGUGUGGAAAGGAAAUUAGGGUUACUAGGGUGGAGUUCUCACUGUGAUACAGCAUCUUGUAGUUGCGCGGCCUUAGACAAGGUCCCCGAGCACCCCUGGGGCGUGGUCUCUUUCCCCCUGGGGCGAGGUCUCUGUCCCUCCCCCCGGGCGUGGUCUCCUUCCUCCUGGGGCGUGGUCUCCUUCCCAUGGGGCGUGGCCUCCUUCCCCUGGGAUGUGGUCUUCUUACUCCCGGGGCAUAGUCUCCUUCCCCCCCCCCGGGGCGUGGUCUCCUUACUCCUGGGGCGUGGUCUCCUUCCCCCCUGGGGCGUGGUCUCCUUACUCCUGGGGCAUGGUCUCCUUCCCCCCCCUGGGGCGUGGUCUCUUUAUUCCUGGGGUGUGGCCUCCUUCCCCCUGGGGCGUGGUCUCUUCUCCAGGGGCGUGGUCUCCUUACCCUUGGGUGGUCUCCACAGGAGCCAGGUAAAGCAAAUGGGGAAGCAUUACUUUCAAGCUCUCUAGAUCUGACAAAAGGAGAAUCAACAGACAUGAUGUCCCUAAAUUUAAGUAUAAUGAGUAUGAUAAUUCCAAACAAAAAUACCAAGCAUUAUAUAAACUCCAUGAUAUUCAAGGUAAUCACCUGAAUUCUUUAGGAUAUACUCCACCACCCUGGCUGCCAAGAUGCAUGACUGAAUAACUACUUCAUUUUAUGUGGGCAAAUCAGUAGCUCAAGAUAACAAGGAAGGACAUGUUUUACAGCGUGUGCAGUAAACACACUGAGGCCCAAAUGCUGACGGCUGCAUUGGAAAAGGAUCUGGGCGGAAUGGUUUGCCUACAUUCAAAUUCUGUAUCUGGAGCCAUUUUCUGAAGGGAGUGUCCCUUAAAUUUAAGUCCCUUAUUAAUGAAUAAGUUCUUUGUUUCCUCUAGUCUCCUCUUUGUUGCCGUGAUUAAAAAAAAAUACCCCAACAAAAAGCAUCUUGGGGAAAGAAAGGGUUUAUUUGACCACCUACCAUGGAUGCUAGCCCCAAACUCAGGUCACCAGGAAGAGUAGCAGGCAUUCCUCACCAUCUCUUUAACUCUCGGGCCAGUACAUUCUAAAAGAUGUGUGUUAUUUGUACUUUCUGUGUAUGAGUGUCUUGCCUGCUUGCCUGUGUAGUGUGUGUGUGUGUGUGUGUGUGUGUGUGUGUGUGCUGUGUGCUGUGUCAGAACCGUCAGACCCCCUGGAACUGGAAAUACACAUUGUUACCAUCUGCUAUGUGGGUGUGAGAACCAAGCAGGGUUCUCUGCAAGAGCAACACGUACUCUCAACUGCCAAGCCACCUCUCCAGCCUCUCAAACUGUUUUUAAAAGUUUUUUUGAAAAAUUUAAAUUAUUUAUUUCAUUUAAAUUGUUCAUAUAUUCCCAACUUUUGCAGAGUUCUUAAGUGUUGCCUUUAAAAUUAUUGCAUCUUUUUAACAUUGUCAAUAUUAAAAUUCAUAGCCAGGUUACCCAGAGAGUGGUGCCUCAGACCUCUAAUCCCAGCACUCAGGAGCAGAGGCAGAGGCAGGCAGAUCUCUGUGAGUUCGAGGGCAGCCUGGUCUAGAGAGCUAGUUCCAGGAUGACCAGGACUACCUAUAGAGGCCCUAUUUCAACCCACCCUCCAAGGAAAAUCAGGCAGUGUUGCCACAGGAGUCUCUGUUUUAUUUGUCUAGCAUGUCUCAUCCCUGGCAGACUUUUAAGAUGCGUAUGUAAUUACCCCCGUCUUCACUUUGUACACCAGCUCAUGGAUACACGUACGCUUCCCCACUCUGAGGACUUCUCCGGAAUAACUUCUCAGUUAAUGGGGCCUCAUUAGACUCCAGGGUAAUAACGUGCAGUGUGUCUUGUGGGACGAAUAAAAUUUUAUUUGUCAUUUUCA